UGCGAUUAGGUGUUGGAGUUU
rnacentral:miRNA from 1 species